rnacentral:rRNA from 1 species
CACGUAGGGUGCGAGCGUUGUCCGGAAUUAUUGGGCGUAAAGAGCUCGUAGGCGGUGUGUCGCGUCGGCCGUGAAAACCUGCAGCUUAACUGUGGGCGUGCGGUCGAUACGGGCAUCACUGGAGUUCGGCAGGGGAGACUGGAAUUCCUGGUGUAGCGGUGAAAAUGCGCAGAUAUCAGGAGGAACACCGGUGGCGGAAGGCGGGUCUCUGGGCCGAUACUGAC